AAUGAACGCUGGCGGCGUGCCUAACACAUGCAAGUCGAGCGAAAAGAGGUGGAUCUUGAUGCUCAGGAGUGAGCGACGGAUGGGUGAGAAACCCGAAGAUACCUAGUAUAGAAGGAUGAGAAAUCGAAGGAAAAGCGGAGACAACAUCAGAUCAUAUGAUGAAACGCAGGGACCAAUAGUGAUAGAGCGUCUAGAUGUGCCUUAGAGAGGGAUCCGAGCCGGAUUAGCUAGUUGGUAAGGUAACGGCUUACCAAGGCAACGAUGCGUAGCCGAUCUGAGAGGGUGAUCGGCCACACUGGGACUGAGACACGGCCCAGACUCCUACGGGAGGCAGCAGUGGGGAAUCUUCCGCAAUGGGCGAAAGCCUGACCCAGCAACGCCGCGUGCGUGAUGAAGGUCUUCGGAUCGUAAACCUCUGUUAUUAGGAAAGAACAGAUGUGUGUUUAUCUCCUCGGGUCUUGACGGUACCGAAACAAAAAGCCACGGCUAACUACGUG
rnacentral:rRNA from 1 species